rnacentral:lncRNA from 1 species
CUUUGCUCUGUUGCCCAGACUGAAGUGCAGUGGUGCAAUCAUAGCUCACUGCAGCCUCCAACUCCUGGGCUCAAGCGAUCGUCUGGCUUAGCCUCCUGAGUAGCUGGGACUACAGGUGUGCACUACCACACCCAGCUGUUUUUGUUUACUUUUAAUUUAAUUUAAUUUAAUUUAAUUUGCUGCUGUUUUGUUUUUUUGUAGAGACAGUGUCUCCCUAUGUUGCCCAGACUGGUCUCAAACUCCUGGCUUCAAGUGAUCCUCCUGUGAAAUGCUGGGAUUACAGGUGUGAGCCAUUGUGCUGGGCUGCUUUCUUCCCUCCCCUCCCCUCCCCUCCUCUUCC